rnacentral:rRNA from 1 species
ACGGGAGAGUAACACGUGGGAACGUACCUUUCAGUUCGGAACAACCAAGGGAAACUUUGGCUAAUACCGGAUACGCCCGUAAGGGGAAAGAUUUAUCGCUGAAAGAUCGGCCCGCGUCUGAUUAGCUAGUUGGUGGGGUAACGGCCCACCAAGGCGACGAUCAGUAGCUGGUCUGAGAGGAUGAUCAGCCUCACUGGGACUGAGACACGGCCCAGACUCCUACGGGAGGCAGCAGUGGGGAAUAUUGGACAAUGGGCGCAAGCCUGAUCCAGCCAUGCCGCGUGGAUGAUGAAGGCCCUAGGGUUGUAAAGUCCUUUCGACGGGGAAGAUAAUGACGGUACCCGUAGAAGAAGCCCCGGCUAACUUCGUGCCAGCAGCCGCGGUAAUACGAAGGGGGCUAGCGUUGCUCGGAAUCACUGGGCGUAAAGCGCACGUAGGCGGCUUUUUAAGUCAGGGGUGAAAUCCCGGAGCUCAACUCCGGAACUGCCUUUGAUACUGAGAAGCUCGAGUUCGGGAGAGGUGAGUGGAACUGCGAGU